GUACUCGCUUCGGCAGCACAUACACUAAAAUUGGAAUGAUACAGAGAUUAGCAUGGACCCUGCGCAAGGAUGACACGCAAAUUCGUGAAGCGUUCCAUUUUUUU
rnacentral:snRNA from 1 species